rnacentral:rRNA from 1 species
AUACGGAGGGUGCGAGCGUUAAUCGGAAUUACUGGGCGUAAAGGGUCCGUAGGCGGCUCAGCAAGUCGGUCGUGAAAGCCCGAGGCUCAACCUCGGAACUGCGGUCGAUACUGCUGUGGCUAGAGUCCGGUAGAGGAGAGUGGAAUUCCCGGUGUAGCGGUGGAAUGCGCAGAUAUCGGGAGGAACACCAGUGGCGAAGGCGGCUCUCUGGGCCGGUACUGACGCUGAGGAGCGAAAGCGUGGGGAGCAAACAGGAUUAGAAACCCUAGUAGUCC